rnacentral:misc_RNA from 1 species
CUAUGUUGCCUCUUCCACCUAACAGUGGACGUAGCUCGGUUCCUUCAAUGUCCUCAAGCCAUGGUGGUGGCUAUGAAAGAAGUGUUUUUACCCCAUUCUGCAACUCCCCUGCACCUUCACAUUCUGAGAAGCCUUUUUCUCAAUCCUUUAGUGGAGUUAAGCCAAGUAGUAAAAUGGAAAGCCAAGAACGGAAAUCCAUGAGUUCCAGAAAUGAUCAAAGUUUGAAUAUCACACAGCAA